AUCGAACGCUGGCGGCAUGCCUUACACAUGCAAGUCGAACGGUAACGCGGGGCAACCUGGCGACGAGUGGCGAACGGGUGAGUAAUGCAUCGGAACGUGCCCAGUAGUGGGGGAUAGCCCGGCGAAAGCCGGAUUAAUACCGCAUACGACCUACGGGUGAAAGGGGGGGAUCGCAAGACCUCUCGCUAUUGGAGCGGCCGAUGUCAGAUUAGGUAGUUGGUGGGGUAAAGGCCUACCAAGCCGACGAUCUGUAGCUGGUCUGAGAGGACGACCAGCCACACUGGGACUGAGACACGGCCCAGACUCCUACGGGAGGCAGCAGUGGGGAAUUUUGGACAAUGGGCGCAAGCCUGAUCCAGCCAUGCCGCGUGCGGGAAGAAGGCCUUCGGGUUGUAAACCGCUUUUGUCAGGGAAGAAAUCUUUUGAGUUAAUACCUCGGAAGGAUGACGGUACCUGAAGAAUAAGCACCGGCUAACUACGUGCCAGCCGCCGCAGUAACAC
rnacentral:rRNA from 1 species